rnacentral:tRNA from 1 species
GGAGUGGUAGUUUAACAUGUUAAAAAUGUCAAUUUGCAAAAUUGAAGAAGGGCAUCCCCCACUUUU